CCAUAAGUAUUCAUGCAGACAUUUAUUCAUCAGAUUUAUAUCUUUGCUUUGUUUGACACUGGGCGUAGUAAUAUGACAGUUCGACUUUUGCUUGUCAGUUGGUGACUCGAAUAGCCAAUGAAAUUAAGUAACAAUGACAUGAUAAAAAAAAUUAACGUUUCAACUGAUUUUGAUAACAGUGCAGCGAUCACAGGAUUCGAUACUACUUUCGAAUUAUCAAAAUAAUAACUAUACUCAUUAAUUUCUCUUGACUUUCGUAGUCAUUUCAGAUAAAUUUUCAUUUGGUUUUUAAUUAUUGCAUUUAUAACUACUAAGCGUGCAUUACAACAUUUUGUACCGAACGGACUUUAGCAUUGUAUCUCUAGGAAGCUGGGGUGACAUCAUGGAAACGGAUAAACUUUAAAAGAAUUACUAUAUCACCAUAUCACGUACCCGGUAGGACUGGUUUAUCAACAUAAUAAUGUCUGUGAUCAGACAGAUCUGUCCAUAGUUUACUGGAAUCAUGAAUUUUAAAUCCGAAAUACAUUUGCAUUACAUACCUAAAUAUAUCGAAUACGUGCUAAUGAUGUCAGCCUUGAGGCGGACAUGAGAUAUCCUGCAUUAUGAGAUGAGUCUUGGGGGUCACUCUACCUAGAUCUAUGUAUAGGUAGACUCUAGACAGAUAAAAAAUCACAGACACAGACCUAAGCAAAGACUAUAAUAGUUAUCAGUUUUCAAUCAUGAAGGGCUAAUUUUAUUUUUAUAAUCCUGUAUUUUUAUACAUAUCACUGAAGUUCCCGCUAACCCUGUAAAAUACUUACUAGAAAAGUUAUGUACCUUUUUCAAGGGAUAGCGAUUGAUUAAUACAAUUAUAUCAAAAACGGAUUUGUGUAUUUAAAUGUAAGACGAAAUCCUAACUUUUCAGAGUAUUCUGGUUGUUUCAAAAUUGGUUCAGCCCUUAUAUAUAAUUUCUGAAUAAUCUGUAAGUUGAUCUAUAUUCUUUGUCUUAUUGUAAGUUUUAUAACUUUAUUUGUAGGAGCGGGGAUAAUGUCCUGUAAUAAUUUAUAAUUGUAGUUGUUCAAAAUAUGUUAUGUAUGAUAUUUAUCUGAAUAAUUAUUAUCUGAAGGUUCACUUCUGUUACAGUUAUGUAACAGUUAAGCAGUAUCGUCGCAUAUCAUUUACUCGCGUACUCUAAACCGAGUGAAGGAUAGACCUUGUGGAUUGACGUAGCUGUGUGAAUAGAAAACUACAAUAAUAUACCUAGUACGUACCUAGGUAGUGACGGACAAUUCAGCUGCAUACAAUGGCUUAGUAGUUUAGCGAACUGCGCAGCUUCCGUCGGUCUUGCGGAUUUAAAUGCAUAAUAUUUAAAAAAAAAUUUUUUAAAUGUGGAGUUAUUGUUUUAAGUUUGCAAAAUACUAGUUUAUGUUGAGAAAGUUUAUAAAAUAAACGCACAAAACAAGAAUAUACAAACAUCGUGAGUAAUAAAAGUUAUAUCAGUGUUAAUGUGAACAAACUC